ACCUGAAUGGCCUGGUCGGUUGGGUGUCUGACUUCAACUCAGGUCAUGAUCUCGUGGUUUGUGGGUUCGAGCCCCGCGUCGGGCU
rnacentral:tRNA from 1 species